GAUGAACGCUGGCGGCGUGCCUAAUACAUGCAAGUCGAGCGAACAGACGAGGAGCUUGCUCCUCUGACGUUAGCGGCGGACGGGUGAGUAACACGUGGAUAACCUACCUAUAAGACUGGGAUAACUUCGGGAAACCGGAGCUACUACCGGAUAAUAUAUUGAACCGCAUGGUUCAAUAGUGAAAGACGGUUUUGCUGUCACUUAUAGAUGGCUCCGCGCCGCAUUAGCUAGUUGGUAAGGUAACGGCUUACCAAGGCAACGAUGCGUAGCCGACCUGAGAGGGUGAUCGGCCACACUGGAACUGAGACACGGUCCAGACUCCGACGGGAGGCAGCAGUAGGGAAUCUUCCGCAAGGGGCGAAAGCCUGGCGGAGCAACGCCGCGUGAGUGAUGAAGGUCUUCGGAUCGUAAAACUCUGUUAUUAGGGAAGAACAAAUGUGUAAGUAACUAUGCACGUCUUGACGGUACCUAAUCAGAAAGCCACGGCUAACUACGUG
rnacentral:rRNA from 1 species